GCAAGUCGAACGAAAAAGAGAAUAGUUUACUAAUUUCUUUUUAGUGGCGGACGGGUUAGUAACACGUGAGUAACUUGCCUCAGAGUGGGGGAUAGUCCUGGGAAACUGGGUUUAAUACCGCAUACGACCUUCGGGUUAAAGAGGGCUUCGGCUCUUGCUUUGAGAUAGGCUCGCGUCCUAUCAGCUAGUUGGUGAGGUAAAAGCUCACCAAGGCGACGACGGGUAGUUGGUCUGAGAGGACGACC
rnacentral:rRNA from 1 species